UACGUAGGGUGCAAGCGUUGUCCGGAAUUAUUGGGCGUAAAGAGCUUGUAGGCGGUUUGUCGCGUCUGCUGUGAAAUUUCGGGGCUCAACCCCGAACUUGCAGUGGGUACGGGCAGACUAGAGUGUGGUAGGGGAGACUGGAAUUCCUGGUGUAGCGGUGAAAUGCGCAGAUAUCAGGAGGAACACCGAUGGCGAAGGCAGGUCUCUGGGCAUUACCUGACGCUGAGGAGCGAAAGUGUGGGGAGCGAACAGG
rnacentral:rRNA from 1 species